UGGCGGCGGCCUAACACAUGCAGUCGAGCGGUUGACGGGAGCUUGCUCCCUGAUUCAGCGGCGGACGGGUGAGUAAUGCCUAGGAAUCUGCCUAUUAGUGGGGGACAACGUUUCGAAAGGAACGCUAAUACCGCAUACGUCCUACGGGAGAAAGCAGGGGACCUUCGGGCCUUGCGCUAAUAGAUGAGCCUAGGUCGGAUUAGCUAGUUGGUGAGGUAAUGGCUCACCAAGGCGACGAUCCGUAACUGGUCUGAGAGGAUGAUCAGUCACACUGGAACUGAGACACGGUCCAGACUCCUACGGGAGGCAGCAGUGGGGAAUAUUGGACAAUGGGCGAAAGCCUGAUCCAGCCAUGCCGCGUGUGUGAAGAAGGUCUUCGGAUUGUAAAGCACUUUAAGUUGGGAGGAAGGGUUGUAGAUUAAUACUCUGCAAUUUUGACGUUGCCGACAGAAUAAGCACCGGCUAACUCUGUGCCAGCAGCCGCGGUAAU
rnacentral:rRNA from 1 species